rnacentral:rRNA from 1 species
GACUUGUGGAUAGGGGUGAAAGGCCAAUCAAACCCGGUGAUAGCUGGUUCUCCCCGAAAUAUAUUGAGGUAUAGCCUCGGGGAUUGUCUGUCGGAGGUAAAGCACUGACAAGGCUAGGGGUCCUACCAGAUUACCAAACCUUUUCAAACUCAGAAUGCCGACAAGAUGUACCCCGGGAGUCAGACGGCGGGUGCUAAGGUCCGUCGUCGAGAGGGUAAGAGCCCAGAUCGACAGCUAAGGUCUCGAAAUCCAUGCUCAGUGGUGAAGGUGGUGGAGUUGUACAGACAGCCAGGACGUUGGCUUAGAAGCAGCCAUCGUUUAAAGAAAGCGUAAUAGCUCACUGGUCUAAUGACUCUGCGCCGAAAAUGUAACGGGGCUAAGCAUGGUACCGAAGCUUCGGAUUCCUCUUUUGAGGAGUGGUAGGGGAGCGUUCUCUAUGGGCAGAAGCUGCAUUGUAAAGUGCGGUGGACGGUAGAGAAGUGAUUAUGCUGACAUGAGUAACGAUAAAACAGGUGAAAAACCUGUUCGCCGAAAACCCAAGGUUUCCUGGGUAAAGUUAAUCUUCCCAGGGUGAGUCGGACCCUAAGGCGAGGGCGAAAGCCGUAGCUGAUGGAAAACGGGUUAAUAUUCCCGUACUUCUUAUGGUGUGCGAUGGAGGGACGCAGAAAGAUAGGUGGGCCAACUGUUGGAUGUUGGUGCAAGCUGGUAGGAAUGCCUCGCCGGCAAAUCCGCGAGGUGAAUCCGAGAAGCGAGUCCGUGGGCGCAAGCCCUGAAGCCAUUGAGUCUCCGCUGCCAAGAAAAGCUCCUAAGUUUAGCCAUGAGGACCCGUACUGCAAACCAACUCAGGUGGGUGGGAUGAAUAAUCCAAGGCGCUCGAGAGAACUCUGGCCAAGGAACUCGGCAAAAUGACCCCGUAACUUCGGAAGAAGGGGUGCUUUUUCAGGUGACCAUUUUUACAUUGGAAGCCAGAGGAAGCCGCAGUGAAUUGGUGGUGGCGACUGUUUACUAAAAACAUAGGUCUGUGCGAAGUCGCAAGACGACGUAUACGGACUGACGCCUGCCCGGUGCCGGAAGGUUAAGAGGAGAGGUCAGCGCAAGCGAAGCCUUGAAUCGAAGCCCCGGUAAACGGCGGCCGUAACUAUAACGGUCCUAAGGUAGCGAAAUUCCUUGUCGGGUAAGUUCCGAC